rnacentral:rRNA from 1 species
UACGUAGGGUCCGAGCGUUGUCCGGAAUUACUGGGCGUAAAGAGCUCGUAGGCGGUCUGUCGCGUCUGCUGUGAAAACUCAGGGCUUAACCCUGAGCUUGCAGUGGGUACGGGCAGACUAGAGUGCGGUAGGGGAGACUGGAAUUCCUGGUGUAGCGGUGAAAUGCGCAGAUAUCAGGAGGAACACCGGUGGCGAAGGCGGAUCUCUGGGCCAUUACUGACGCUGAGGAGCGAAAGCGUGGGGAGCGAACAGG